AGCGCACCCCUAUCCUUAUUUGCCAGCGCAUAAUUGCGGGAACUAUAAGGAGACUGCCGGUCAUAAACCGGAGGAAGGCGGGGACGACGUCAAGUCAUCAUGGCCCUUAUGGGUAGGGCUACACACGUGAUACAAUGGGUGGUACAGAGGGUCGCCAAAGCGCGAGCUGGAGCCAAACCCUUAAAACCAUUCUUAGUCCGGAUUGGAGUCUGCAACUCGACUCCAUGAAGUCGGAAUCGCUAGUAAUCGCGAAUCAGAAUGUCGCGGUGAAUACGUUCUCGGGCCUUGUACACACCGCCCGUCACGUCAUGGAAGUGGGUUGCACCAGAAGUGGCUUGUUUAACCUUCGGGAAAACGGUCACCACGGUGUGAUUCACAACUGGGACGAAGUCGUAACAAGGUAGCCCUAGGGGAACCUGGGGCUGGAUCA
rnacentral:rRNA from 1 species